CGAAGCGACCUGUGGCGAGUUCAGAUCUGUGGUUAGGGCUGCCUACCCGUCUUGGUCAUUUGCUUGCAAAGCACGAAAAGUGAGCCUGGGCUGGCCCUUUGCUCUUCUUCUUCUUUCCAAGAUGCAGAUCCUGGAGCCUUACGGGCGUGCGCGCGCGUGUGCGCGCGCGCGUGUGUGCGCAGGGUCACGUCCGAUUCGCCUUCCCUCUGCGUUCAGCAGACCACCUCCCCUGCCGGAAGCAGGUCGCCUUGCUAUGGCCAGGAGACUCCAUAGCAGGCCUGAAGCCUUUCAUUCGCCAUCAGCUGCUGCUUCUACCUUAGUUGCGCACAACCGCGAAUCAACCUCUUGCUCAACAGCGAGGCUCCUCUCAGGCUCAGGAGCCAAGAGUUACAGCAGCCAGGGGCUCUGUGAUUCCCUCCACCCCCAAGAGACCAGGAUCAAGGUGGAGGUUGCCCGGACAUACACCUGGAAUGGUCUUGUGGGCCGCCACCUGCUUUCCCGGGCCACCGCCACUUCUCCAGCAAUAUUGACCCAUUCAGCCGGACGCUGCUCCCUGCUUUACCCAGUCCAGCGUGGGUCGGCUGUCCCGUCUCCCUCCAGCCCAAAGCCAGCGUGGUCCUGCUCCGCUUGGCCGCGGGUAGCACCUUCCAGCCGCUCCAGGACGCCUCCCGUUGGGUCUCUGCUUCCCGUCAGCUGUCUCCUUGACCUCUGGACCAGUCAAAUUACCUGCUUUUGAGGCCUCCCUCAAGCCUCACCUCCUCCAGGAAGCUCUCCCCUAACACAAACUCGUAAGAUCACUUCUUUUCUGUGAAUUCCACACAAUCCCGCACCAUUGGAUAGAAUUCUCCAGGUGUGACCACAGCAGCAUGGGCAGCAAGCGGCCUUAAUGGAAGGCAAUUUGGUAAUAGGAAUAAAAAAACUUAAUAUUUUGGGGCGCCUGGGUGG
rnacentral:lncRNA from 1 species